AGUGAACGCUGGCGGUAGGCCUAACACAUGCAAGUCGAACGGCAGCACAGUAAGAGCUUGCUCUUACGGGUGGCGAGUGGCGGACGGGUGAGGAAUACAUCGGAAUCUACUUUUUCGUGGGGGAUAACGUAGGGAAACUUACGCUAAUACCGCAUACGACCUACGGGUGAAAGCAGGGGAUCUUCGGACCUUGCGCGAGUGAAUGAGCAGAUGUCGGAUUAGCUAGUUGGCGGGGUAAAGGCCCACCAAGGCGACGAUCCGUAGCUGGUCUGAGAGGAUGAUCAGCCACACUGGAACUGAGACACGGUCCAGACUCCUACGGGAGGCAGCAGUGGGGAAUAUUGGACAAUGGGCGCAAGCCUGAUCCAGCCAUGCCGCGUGAGUGAAGAAGGCCUUCGGGUUGUAAAGCCCUUUUGUUGGGAAAGAACAGCAGCAGGUUAAUACCCCGCUGUUCUGACGGUACCCAAAGAAUAAGCACCGGCUAACUUCGUG
rnacentral:rRNA from 1 species